rnacentral:tRNA from 4 species
GAGCCGGUAGCUCAGUCGGUAGAGCAGAGGCCUUUUAAGCCCCUGGUCGUGGGUUCGAGUCCCACCCGGCUCACCA